GGCCAUAUAGCAUUGACAUUGGUUCCUGUAUGAUCACCGAAGUUAAGCAAUGUUGAGUCUGAUCAGUACCUAGAUGGGUGGCCGCUUGAGAAUACCCUGUGCUGUAAG